ACAAUUAAUAACUGAAGAAGCUUUGCCUGCAGCUUUUACUGGAAGGAGAGGAUUAAAGGUCAAAUUUCACCGAGGAUAUUCAGUGAGAUUCUGGGAAGAAGAUGAGCUACACACAAGAAAAUGAUGCUCGUUCCUGUUUACCACUUGUGUUAAAGAUCCUUUCAACACCUAAUAUAAAAAGAAAUAGCACAAUAGAUCUAUUUAUUUUUUACUAGGGUUACUGGAACCAUUGUUAACUUCUAGGAGCACGUGUUCUUGGAGUGAAUGAGCCUGAUUUUUAUUGGCAUCAGAAGGGACACAUGUAAUCUUAGAGGCAGUAAAAGCCAAGAUUAGAAGAUAAAAUAGUGGAUGAUACUAAGUCUUUAUUGGGUGUGGGUAGUAUUGUGACAUGAAAGCUGAAGUAUCAUGUGUAAUAAAAUGAUUCAAGUUCAUGUAGUCAGAAACAGAUGACCAAAAGAGGGCAGCAUUAAUUCAUAUGAUUUAAAAGUGGACCAUGAUGCUGCCGCCCCCUUCCAGUUUGCAGUACUCUGAAAUGCUUGUCUGGCUGAUCAAGAGUACGAACAAUACAGACUGUAGUGGUAGCCCCACAAAAAUAGGAAAGCCCAGAGGAGUUGUUUAAGGUAAGUUUUGGUUAUAUUCAGUUUUGCCAACUGAAUAUAUGACAGGAAAAACACUUAAAUAGAAGAUGCCAGCAGAAUGAGUGUACAUCCAAUGCCGUGGUCUGGCUUGGUGCUCUCAGCUGUGUUUUUCUCUGGGUCUCACCAGCUGUAACAGCAUCUCCAUAUGGAAAAACUGUGGCUUCCAGUGGAGCUGCUGUUAUCUGUGGAGGGACACCUCUUGUCAUGCAAACACUGCUGGGACUCUCUGUAGCUCAUGAACAGCAACACUUUCAGUUUCUUGUUUCUGUGUUUAGUUUAAUUUUCAUGGUGAUUUAUGUGAAGGCUGCAAUAAAUUAAACAAUUCUUGUGAA